rnacentral:rRNA from 1 species
UACGUAGGGACCGAGCGUUGUCCGGAUUCAUUGGGCGUAAAGAGCUCGUAGGCGGCUGCUCAAGUCGAAUGUGAAAACUCGAGGCUCAACCUCGAGCCUGCAUUCGAUACUGGGCGGCUAGAGUCUGGUAGGGGGAUCGUGGAAUUCCUGGUGUAGCGGUGAAAUGCGCAGAUAUCAGGAGGAACACCGAUGGCGAAGGCAGGUCUCUAGUACGGUACUGACGCUGAGACGCGAAAGCGUGGGGAGCGAACAGG